GACGAACGCUGGCGGCGUGCUUAAUACAUGCAAGUCAACUGAACUUAGGAUAGCAAUAUUUUAAGGGAGGUGGCGCACGGGUGAGUAACACGUAGGUAAUCUGCCUUUAGGUCUGACAUAACCUACCGAAAGGUAGGCUAAAAUCAGAUGAUGCAGCGGCUCGACAUCGAGACAGUUGUUAAAUCUUCGGAGCCUAAAGAUGAGCCUGCGUCUGAUUAGGUAGUUGGCGGUGUAAUGGACCACCAAGCCUGCGAUCAGUAGCUGGUCUGAGAGGAUGAUCAGCCACACUGGAACUGAGACACGGUCCAGACUCCUACGGGAGGCAGCAGUAAGGAAUAUUGCUCAAUGGGAGAAAUCCUGAAGCAGCAACGCCGCGUGGAGGAUGAAAUACUUUUGUAUGUAAACUCCUGUAAGAAGGGAAAAUAUACAGUUAUUCUGUGUUGAUUGUACCUUCAGAGUAAGCCCCGGCUAACUACGUGCCAGCAGCCG
rnacentral:rRNA from 1 species